rnacentral:rRNA from 1 species
GAUGAACGCUGGCGGCGUGCCUAAUACAUGCAAGUCGAGCGAACGGACGAGAAGCUUGCUUCUCUGAUGUUAGCGGCGGACGGGUGAGUAACACGUGGAUAACCUACCUAUAAGACUGGGAUAACUUCGGGAAACCGUAGCUAGUACCGGAUAAUAUUUUGAACCGCAUGGUUCAAAAGUGAAAGACGGUCUUGCUGUCACUUAUAGAUGGAUCCGCGCUGCAUUAGCUAGUUGGUAAGGUAACGGCUUACCAAGGCAACGAUGCAUAGCCGACCUGAGAGGGUGAUCGGCCACACUGGAACUGAGACACGGUCCAGACUCCUACGGGAGGCAGCAGUAGGGAAACUUCCGCAAUGGGCGAAAGCCUGACGGAGCAACGCCGCGUGAGUGAUGAAGGUCUUCGGAUCGUAAAACUCUGUUAUUAGGGAAGAACAUAUGUGUAAGUAACUGUGCACAUCUUGACGGUACCUAAUCAGAAAGCCACGGCUAACUACGUG